GGUGGCUCAGUGGUAGAGUGCUUGCCUCACAUGCAUAAGACCCUGGGUUCAUACCUCAGCACCA
rnacentral:tRNA from 1 species